AUACUUAUUUUUUAGCUGGAUAGGAUUUACCAAUUUUCUUAUUAUACUGAGCAUUAAAUAUGUAGCUUCAAAAUAAUUACCUACUUUGAACCCAAAGUAAUAAUUUAAUAAUCGAAGUUAUGUUAUCACUGAUAAUAUUUUUAUCUGACAUUUAUCAUCAUAACAUUACGUUAUCGAAUUAAAUAGUUCUGACAAUUUUACAAAGUAAAGCCUAAUUGCAUUAAUUUAAUUUAUUAUUCGAUGAUAAUAUGAUUAUAUUAGCACUUAAUGGUUGUAGGUAUAUAAAUUGGGAUUUUACUUUGACUUCAUUGAGACAUCACCACCAUCAGAGUUUUGUUUUCAAACUACAGAAACAUUCACGAAUUUAAAUUAAUAAAGAAAUACAUACAACAAAAUUUGGAAAAUAAUUAGAAA